rnacentral:rRNA from 1 species
AGUUUGAUCAGUGGCUCAGGAGACGCUGGCGGCGUGCUUAACACAUGCAAGUCGAACGGAAAGGCCCCCUUGUGGGGUACUCGAGUGGCGAACGGGUGAGUAACACGUGAGUAACCUACCCUUGACUUUGGGAUAACUUCAGGAAACUGGGGCUAAUACCGGAUAGGAGCUCCUGCUGCAUGGUGGGGGUUGGAAAGUUUCGGCGGUUGGGGAUGGACUCGCGGCUUAUCAGCUUGUUGGUGGGGUAGUGGCUCACCAAGGCUUUGACGGGUAGCCGGCCUGAGAGGGUGACCGGCCACAUUGGGACUGAGAUACGGCCCAGACUCCUACGGGAGGCAGCAGUGGGGAAUAUUGCACAAUGGGCGGAAGCCUGAUGCAGCAACGCCGCGUGCGGGAUGACGGCCUUCGGGUUGUAAACCGCUUUCGCCUGUGACGAAGCGUGAGUGACGGUAAUGGGUAAAGAAGCACCGGCUAACUACGUG